GUAAGAAUAAGCACCGGCUAACUACGUGCCAGCAGCCGCGGUAAUACGUAGGGUGCGAGCGUUAAUCGGAAUUACUGGGCGUAAAGCGUGCGCAGGCGGUUAUAUAAGACAGAUGUGAAAUCCCCGGGCUCAACCUGGGAACUGCAUUUGUGACUGUAUAGCUAGAGUGCGGCAGAGGGGGAUGGAAUUCCGCGUGUAGCAGUGAAAUGCGUAGAUAUGCGGAGGAACACCGAUGGCGAAGGCAAUCCCCUGGGCCUGCACUGACGCUCAUGCACGAAAGCGUGGGGAGCAAACAGGAUUAGAUACCCUGGUAGUCCACGCCCUAAACGAUGUCAACUGGUUGUUGGGUCUUCACUGACUCAGUAACGAAGCCAACGCGUGAAGUUGACCGCCUGGGGAGUACGGCCGCAAGGUUGAAACUCAAAAGGAAUUGACGGGGACCCGCACAAGCGGUGGGAUGAAUGUGGGUUAAAUUCGAUGCAACGCGAAAAACCUUACCCACCUUUUGACAUGUACCGAAGUUACCCAGAAGAUGGGUCGUGCUCAAAGAAGAACCGUAACACAGGUGCUGCAUGGGCU
rnacentral:rRNA from 1 species